rnacentral:lncRNA from 1 species
AUAUAUAUAUAUAGUGAGGCUACUAUGCUAUCGGAAGUACGGAGCCUUCCGUGCUUCCAGCUCGUUUUCGAUGUUGCGCCUUUCGAAUCGUCGAUCGGCUCCGUUAAACUUGAUCUAGAGUAUUUGAAGUACCUAGAGAAUAAAUAUUAUGAUUUUACGAUAUCAUUUGCCUAGUAAACGAAGAGGUUCAAAAUCAACGGCUGAAAAUAAAAAAUCUUACAAAAUGUAAUAAUAUGACAUUAAAAUUUUAAAUCAAAGAUAUUGAUCUUGUUUUAUAUAGUAUAAAGAAUUUUCUAUCAAAAUUUCACGUGAUUUGGAUAUUUCUACACCGUUAAACUUGCAAACGGCUCACUACGGCCAUUGAAAUUUGUUGAUUUUGAGCCCAUUCGUUUACUAGGUAAAUGAUAUCGUAAAAUCAUAAAAUUUAUUCUCUAGGUACUUCAAAUACUCUAGAUCAAGUUUAACGGAGCCGAUCGACGAUUCGAAAGUCGCAACAUCGAAAACGAGCUGGAAGCACGGAAGGCUCCGUGCUUCCGAUAGCAUAGUAGCCUCACUCUAUAUAUAUAUAUAUAUAUAUAUAUAUAUAUAUAUAUAUAUAUAUAUAUAUAUAUAUAUAU